UACGAAGGGGGCUAGCGUUGCUCGGAAUUACUGGGCGUAAAGGGCGCGUAGGCGGCACUGUUAGUCAGGCGUGAAAGUCCUGGGCUCAACCUGGGAACUGCGCUUGAUACGGCAGAGCUAGAGGAUGGAAGAGGCUCGCGGAAUUCCCAGUGUAGAGGUGAAAUUCGUAGAGAUCGUAAGGAAGGCCGGUGGCGAAGGCGAGUUCCUGGACAGUUACUGACGCUGAGGCACGAAGGCCAGGGGAGCAAACGGG
rnacentral:rRNA from 1 species